rnacentral:lncRNA from 1 species
AUGAUGCUGUCAAAGUGCUGCACUCAAUAUGCCAGCAAAUUUGGAAAACAGCAGUGGCCACAGGACUGGAAAAGGUCAGUUUUCAGUUCAAUCCCAAAGAAAAGCAAUGCCAAAGAAUGCUCAAACUACCGCACAAUUGCACUCAUCUUACACGCUAGUAAAGUAAUGCUCAAAAUUCUCCAAGCCAGGCUUCAGAAAUACGUGAACCAUGAACUUCCAGAUGUUCAAGCUGGUUUUAGAAAAGGCAGAGGAACCAGAGAUCAAAUUGCCAACAUGUGCUGGAUCAUUAAAAAAGCAAGAGAAUUCCAGAAAAAAAUCUAUUUCUGCUUUAUUGACUAUGCCAAAGCCUUUGACUUUGUGAAUCACAAUAAACUGUGGAGAAUUCUGAAAGAGAUGGGACUGCCAGACCACCUGACCUGCCUCUUGAGAAACCUAUAUGCACGUCAGGAAGCAACAGUUAGAACUGGACAUGGAACAACAGACUGGUUCCAAAUAGGAAAAGGAGUACGUCAAGGCUGUAUAUUAUCACCCUGCUUAUUUAACUUAUAUGCAGAGUACUUCAUGAGAAAUGCUGGACUGGAAGAAGCACAAGCUGUAAUCAAGAUUGCCAGGAGAAAUAUAAAUCACCUCAGAUAUGCAGAUGACACCACCUUACUUAUGGCAGAAAGUGAAGAGGAACUCAAAAGCCCCUUGAUGACAGUGAAAGAGGAGAGUGAAAAAGUUGGCUUAAAGCUCAACAUUCAGAAAACGAAGAUCAUGGCAUCCGGUCCCAUCACUUCAUGGGAAAUAGAUGGGGAAACAGUGGAAACAGUGGCAGACUUUAUUUUUCUGGGCUCCAAAAUCACUGCAGAUGGUGAAUGCAGUCAUGAAGUUAAAAGACACUUACUCCUUGGAAGGAAAGUUAUGACCAACCUAGACAGCAUAUUAAAAAGCAGAGACAUUACUUUGGCAACAAAGGUCCAUCUAGUCAAGGCUAUGAUUUUUCCAGUAGUCAUGUAUGAAUAUGAGAGUUGGACUGUGAAGAAAGCUGAGCACUGA